rnacentral:rRNA from 1 species
UGAGGAAUAUUGCACAAUGGGCGAAAGCCUGAUGCAGCGACGCCGCGUGGAGGAUGAAGGUCUUCGGAUUGUAAACUCCUGUUAAGUGUGAAAAAAGAGCUGUUUUUAAUAGAAACAGCAGAUGAUUGUAACACUAGAGAAAGCACCGGCUAACUUCGUGCCAGCAGCCGCGGUAAUACGAGGGGUGCAAACGUUAUUCGGAAUCACUGGGCGUAAAGGGUACGUAGACGGCAAGAUAAGUCAGUUAUUAAAUUUCCCGGCUUAACCGGGAACUCGUAACUGAAACUGAUUUGCUUGAGGAUGGAAGAGAGAAGCGGAAUUCUCGGAGUAGCGGUUAAAUGCGUAGAUCUCGAGAGGAACACCGAUGGCGAAGGCAGCUUCUUGGUCCAUUUCUGACGUUGAUGUACGAAAGCGUGGGGAGCAAACA